rnacentral:rRNA from 1 species
UACGAAGGGGGCUAGCGUUGCUCGGAAUCACUGGGCGUAAAGCGCACGUAGGCGGGUUGCUAAGUCAGGGGUGAAAUCCUGGAGCUCAACUCCAGAACUGCCCUUGAUACUGGCGAUCUCGAGUCCGGGAGAGGUGAGUGGAACUGCGAGUGUAGAGGUGAAAUUCGUAGAUAUUCGCAAGAACACCAGUGGCGAAGGCGGCUCACUGGCCCGGUACUGACGCUGAGGUGCGAAAGCGUGGGGAGCAAACAGG